GGCUGGUCCAAUGGCAGUGAAUUUCAGAAUUUAUUAACAUUAGUGUCACUAAAGUUGGUAUACAAUCCUUCACUGCUAAAUUUGACUGGCUAAAA
ensembl:misc_RNA Y_RNA Y RNA